AUGCCCCAAGGUAAAAGACUUCUGGGAAAGGAUUUAUAAUGAACUGAAAAAAGUGUUGAAAAACACAUUUAUUAAGAAACCAGAAGCCUUCUUACUUGGUAUAGUGGGGGGAGAAAUCCCCCAAAAGGAUGUUACUUUUUUUCUGUAUGCCACAACAGCUGCGAGAAUAUUAUUAGCGAAAAACUGGAAGAAACAAGAUUUACCAACUAUAGAAGAAUGGCAGAUGAAGAUGAUGGACUACAUGGAACUUGCCGAACUGACUGGGAGACUCCGAGACCAGAGAGAAGAGACGGUGGAAGAAGACUGUAAGAAGUUUAAAGAAUAUUUGAAAAAAUGUUAAUAUUUAAAUCUUA